GACGAACGCUGGCGGCGCGCUUAACACAUGCAAGUCGAGCGAAGCGGCGGACCGGUGAGUAACACGUGAGUAACCUGCCUUAGACAUUGGGAUAGCCUCGGGAAACCGGGAUUCAUACCAAAUGGUCUAAGAUGGACUCGCGUCCCAUUCGCUAGUUGGUGAGGUAACGGCCCACCAAGGCGACGAUGGGUAGCCGGCCUGAGCGGGUGAACGGCAACAGUGGAACUGAGAAACGGUCCAAACGCUGCGUGAGGCAGCAGUGGGGAAGAUUGCACAAUGGAGUGAAGUCUGAGGCAGCGAGGCCGCGUGACCGAAGAAGGCUGUCGAGUCGUAAAGUUCUUUUAUAUGGGAAGCGGUACCAUAGGAAAAGGCCCCGGCUGACUACGUGCCAGCAGCCGCGGUAAUAC
rnacentral:rRNA from 1 species